AGCCCGAUAGUCUAGUCUGGCCAAACCUUACGGGGCCAAGGAUUCCGCGCUCUGGAUCUAGCGAGUAGACACGCGGAGACGGCAGUUCGAAUCUGCCUCGGGCUA
rnacentral:tRNA from 1 species